CCCCUAAUACCACUUUUUUCACCUUAGCUUUUACUCUGAGUUUACACUAUCCUUGCAAGACCCAGAUUUCCUCAGCUACUUCAACUUUUCUUUGUAUGUGCAUGC